GGGCCGUUAGCUCAGUUGGUAGAGCAGGUGACUCUUAAUCACUCGGUCCGCAGUUCGAGUCUGCGACGGCCCACCA
rnacentral:tRNA from 1 species